rnacentral:misc_RNA from 1 species
UAGCAGGCCACGUCACCU